rnacentral:lncRNA from 1 species
GGUUUCGUGAAAGCGAAGGUUUGCGCAGGGUAAUUUGUGUGUUGAAUUGGAGGGGCUUUCAAAUGUUGCACGGUGUCUUGUAUUUAUAGGGAUGAGUAUGCACUGAUUGAUAAGCAGAUAAAGACUACCAAGCUAUUAAAACUCUUCCUCAGAUAAGCCUUACUACUCCCAAGACUCUAAACUUAGUAAAAAAUGCAACCAAAUUCAAUAUAUGUUUAGUCUUAUCCCAUCGAAUCCCAAUAUAGCCUGCAUGCUUGGAUUUGAACAAAUAAUGUUCCUCUAAACAACCACCAAUCGACCUGCCCUGCUGUGGUUGGUUCCUUUUUUAGAGAUAAUCACCCCCAAAUUCGCAAUACAUAAUUAUAUAGGAAGUAAUCUUUCACAUGGCAUGCAUUGUGAUUCCAUCAUCAAUUCAUCUGACAACACCCAUCAUUACUCAAUUAACCUAGCCUACCUAGGUUUAUUAUCUCACCAUUAUCCAAGACCAUCAAAUCAUAUGCUUAUGACACCAUCAUAAUUCCAUCACCUUUAAACCUAUCCAUGCAUGCAUCUUGAUCACAUGAAUUUAAAAUUCAUUUUUAGCUUCCAAGUGCUGUCAGACAUCCCAAAUCAAUUCAAAUUGUACUGCUUACUUGGGAUUGAAUUCACAUCCUAUAUAUCUAGUUUAAGAAGAUGCAGAUAAUUCAUAUUAAAAGAUAAUUAUUAUAAUAAAAACCAUAAUAUUACCCUUUAACAAUAACAAAAUUAUCUCCACGUUUCCAUCCGACGGUUGAGAACUAUGCUCACUCAACGACCUUGAUUGCACGGGC